GCGAAAGGGGCAGUAAAGCAUGGACAACCUACCCCGGGGAUCGGGAUAGCCUUCCUAACGGAUGGGUAAUACCGGGCGAUCUAGCGAGAAGGCAUCUUUUUGCUAGGAAAUGAAUUUCGCCUCGGGAGGGGUUCAUGUAGUAUUAGCUUGUUGGCGGGGUAACGGCCCACCAAGGCCAAGAUGCUUAGCGGGUGUGAGAGCACGACCCGCGCCACUGGCACUGAGACACUGGCCAGACUCCUACGGGAGGCUGCAGUCGAGGAUCUUCGGCAAUGGGCGCAAGCCUGACCGAGCGACGCCGCGUGUGCGAUGAAGGCCUUCGGGUUGUAAAGCACUGUCGAGGGGGAGAAAAGCCCGCAAGGGUCUGAUCUAGCCCUGGAGGAAGCACGGGCUAAGUUCGUGCCAGCAGCCGCGGUAAGACGAACCGUGCGAACGUUGUUCGGAUUCACUGGGCUUAAAGGGCGCGUAGGCGGACACGCAAGUCUAGGGUGAAAUCUUUCAGCUUAACUGGAAAAGUGCCUUGGAUACUGCGUGUCUCGAGGGAGGUAGGGGCAUGUGGAACUUCCGGUGAGCGGUGAAAUGCGUAGAUAUCGGAAGGAACGCCGGUGGCGAAAGCGACGUGCUGGACCUCUUCUGACGCUGAGGCGCGAAAGCUAGGGGAGCGAACGGGAUUAGAUACCCCGGUAGUCCUAGCCCUAAACGAUGGGUACUAGGUUGUGGACUUAACAUGGGUUCACAACCGAAGCUAAAGUGUUAAGUACCCCGCCUGGGGAGUAUGGUCGCAAGGCUGAAACUCAAGGAAUUGACGGGGGCUCACAC
rnacentral:rRNA from 1 species